GGUGUGGGAGCGGCGCAGAGACGCUGAAGGGAGCGGCGGACGUAUCAAGCGGCUGUCAGGUGUAUGGACUCCUACCGUUUAAGACGUCACCCCGUCACUGCCAAGCGCCUGGACGCCGCCACGCAGCCGUCGUGUGGGUGGCGGCGGAGGCAGCGAGACCCUUCCUGGGGCUGAAAGGAAGGCGACCCAUGAAGGUCUUCUGCUUGAGGCUGUGGCUGGCUCGGUCCUCCCUCCUCUUCCCCGCCCACCGCGUCCUCUGUCCCUGUCGCUGCCACGGAAGACACGGUGAGUUUGUUUCUUUUUGGCCUCGUG